UUUGAUCCCCAAAGGGGUUUUGGCCCCACAGGUUGAGAACUACUGCUCUAGACCAGGACAGCAUCGGACAGGGCCUUCUCAGCCUUCAUCUCUGCCCCACUGAGCUCUCCUUCCUCACAUGUCUUCUAGUCUUGCCACUGAGCCUUGUGAGGCUUUCCAGGCUCCCCAGCCAGAAUAGAAGCUCCUGGAAAACAGUUAUCAGUCCCCCUAGCCUAGACCCUGGUCACUUCACUCCCUUCCAGGCUUGAGCAGGAAGCUGGGGUCUGGAGUCCAGCCUCUGCAGUGUUUUAUUAUAUGCCAGCCCCUGAAAGUCUCCUCCUUCCCAGGGACUCAUUUUCCUGAAGUCAAGGCACUGGACAUUUGUCAUUCAGAACAAAACUGGCUCCUGGAUGCCACUUCUCCCCCAGACCUGUGGCUGUAGCAGAAGAGAGUCUGGGGUGCCACAGGACUGGAGUAUCAGAGUUGAACAUCUGGAAAAAGGAGAGAGAGAGACACACACAGGCAGUGGUGGACAUUCUGAUCUGGGAACUGGAGAACUUUGUGGACUUGGAACAGGCUCUGAGAGGUGCACAGUCUCAGCAAAGCCUCAGUUAUCAAACAGAAGACGCCUGCCUGCCUGCCUGCCUGCCUGCCUGCCUGCCUGCCUGCUACCCUUCCUAGAGAUGAAUCGGAAGCCCUGACCUGCUGGCUCUACCUGCCAAGCUCCAGGAUUACAGGUGUGCACCAGCACACGUGGCCUGAAACUUUUCCUUCUAUAUUAGCUGUUAAGGUCUGCAGUACAAAGAUAAACUCAAAAUGAACACAUUUCCUUUUGUGUUCCUACUUACGUGUGAGGCAGGUUAGGGGGUCCUUGGGGCUCCCCAGAAAGUGGAGCCGUCAGUACUGAGCGAGAUCCUGGGCAGGUCGGGAGGGUCCCAUGAGUGGGCAGCCGGAGAGAGGUGCCAGGGUCAAAGCCUAAGGAGACAAAAGAACACAGCAUGUACAGGGCUCAGGGUCACACGACUGUGCUCGCUUCACCCACCCAUGUCUCUUUUCUCUCCCCUUUCUGGUACAGUGGCAACUUAGCAUUCAAAUAUCUGUUGAAUAAAAGGUGAAUU